AUGAUUGUGUGUUUUCUCUCAGCUAGGAUGAUGGCUCAGUUCAAGGAUGAUUGGAGGAGAGAACAGUUCCAGAAUGAAGGACUUCAGGAAAAAUAUGAUGAUCUUCAAAAGAAAGUCGCCAGUCUUCGGAAAACAAAUGGAGAACUUCAGGAUGAAAACGGUAACUUAUUUCUGAAUUUUUCUUUUCUUUUUUUUUUCUGCUUUGGAGGGGUGGAUAUAUUUCCUAGGAAUAGUUAUUCUCUCUUGACUUUCCUUCCUUUGCUAUUGCUUCAAGUCACUGUCUUCCAGGCACUUACCACCCUCUCAUUACGAGGUUUGUUAAAUGAAGAGAAUCAGGCUGAGAAGAAUGCUCUUUGCUCCAUUCCACAGGAAGCUUUCUUUUCCUGGGCCCUCCACCACGACAUCUAGAUGCAGUGCUCGCUGUGUUGUAUUUGACAUUGUCCCGGUUGUUACUGGAAUGGUUCCGAUUCCAACCCUGGUUGCAGGGAUGAGUUUCUCCUUUGAUUGCUCACACUCUGUCGACUGCCGAUGCCCUGCAGAAGUUAUCCUAAGACAGGCCAGUUCACGUCUGCCGAUCACACUCUCAAGGGACCCAGUGUAUAUGGAUAUCGUUGCCUGACUUGUCCUGGUUAUGUUCAGUUUACAACCACAGUUCUUACUCUUCAUUCAUUUUUAUUUACCUAUUUCUUUAUUAUCUCACCAAGUUGACCGCCCUCUGGCAUCUUUGUGUGCACUUUUUCCCCUCAAGAAAUCACACUGAUCAUACAUAGCUGAAGUCCAAAGUUGUGUUCUGAGAUGAUGCCACACCUCUCUGUAAUACCCUAACACAAGAAAUAUUUUCAAUCUUCAUAAGCCUGUAUGUGACAAAGUAUUCUGGAAAGGGAGGUGGUGCUCUCAAUGGAACAGAGUUUAGGGAUCUGCCUCUUUAACUCAGGAGUGGACGUGACUUGAAAACGCUCCAGAAGCACUCAUUCGGAGAUGCGGCGCUCUGGUCACGCCUUCUUCAUAAAGUUCAGAAAACCUGUCUCAUACAUGCACGUUCAGAUAUUUCC
rnacentral:lncRNA from 1 species